rnacentral:rRNA from 1 species
GAUGAACGCUGGCGGCGUGCCUAAUACAUGCAAGUCGAGCGAACAGACGAGGAGCUUGCUCCUCUGACGUUAGCGGCGGACGGGUGAGUAACACGUGGAUAACCUACCUAUAAGACUGGGAUAACUUCGGGAAACCGGAGCUAAUACCGGAUAAUAUAUUGAACCGCAUGGUUCAAUAGUGAAAGACGGUUUUGCUGUCACUUAUAGAUGGAUCCGCGCCGCAUUAGCUAGUUGGUAAGGUAACGGCUUACCAAGGCAACGAUGCGUAGCCGACCUGAGAGGGUGAUCGGCCACACUGGAACUGAGGCACGGUCCAGACUCCUACGGGAGGCAGCAGUAGGGAAUCUUACGCGAAGGGCGAGAGCCUGACGGAGCAACGCCGCGUGAGUGAUGAAGGUCUUCGGAUCGUAAAACUCUGUUAGUAGGGAAGAACAAAUGUGUAAGUAACUAUGCACGUCUUGACGGUACCUAAUCAGAAAGCCACGGCUAACUACGUG